AUUGAACGCUGGCGGCAUGCUUUACACAUGCAAGUCGAACGGCAGCACGAAAGAGCUUGCUCUUUUGGUGGCGAGUGGCGAACGGGUGAGUAAUGCAUCGGAACGUACCGAGUAAUGGGGGAUAACUGUCCGAAAGGAUAGCUAAUACCGCAUACGCUUUGAGAAGGAAAGUGGGGGCUCUUCGGACCUCACGUUAUUCGAGCGGCCGAUGUCUGAUUAGCUAGUUGGUGGGGUAAAGGCCUACCAAGGCGACGAUCAGUAGCGGGUCUGAGAGGAUGAUCCGCCACACUGGGACUGAGACACGGCCCAGACUCCUACGGGAGGCAGCAGUGGGGAAUUUUGGACAAUGGGCGCAAGCCUGAUCCAGCCAUGCCGCGUGUCUGAAAAAGGCCUUCGGGUUGUAAAGGACUUUUGUUAGGGAAGAAAAGGAUAGUGUUAAUACCAUUAUCUGCUGACGGUACCUAAAGAAUAAGCACCGGCUAACUACGUG
rnacentral:rRNA from 1 species